rnacentral:rRNA from 1 species
UACAGAGGGGGCAAGCGUUAUUCGGAAUUAUUGGGCGUAAAGGGCGCGUAGGCGGCGAUUCAAGUGACGGGUGAAAUCCCUCGGCUUAACCGAGGAACUGCCUGUCAGACUGGAUUGCUUGAGGCCGGGAGAGGCGAGUGGAAUUCCCAGUGUAGCGGUGAAAUGCGUAGAUAUCUGGAGGAACACCGGUGGCGAAGGCGGCAUCCUGGACCAAGACUGACGCUGAGGAGCGAAAGCCAGGGGAGCAAACGGG